rnacentral:lncRNA from 1 species
UCUUCAAAGUAGUCUUCAAAACUGCUUAUCUAAAAUAAAAUCUCAGUGAGACUUAUGCUUUGUUUGGUAAGAAAUAGGGUACGUCUGAUAAGCUAGCUUACAACAGAUGAGCUUAUAACUUAUAAGUUAGCUUUUAGCUGAUAGCGAAUAAGCUAGAUGAUUGAAUUUGUCGUGUUUGGUAAAAUUAGCGGUUGAACUAGCUUAUAAGUAUGAAAAUGACAAAAAAGAUAUAUUUAAUUUUUUUUUUCAAGUAAGAUGGCAGGGUAAAAUUGGAAGAAAAAAUGAUAAGUUAUAACCUCUUAAGCUACUUGAAAUAGCGUUUGAAAAAUAAGCUAUAAGCUUUUUUUGAAAAAUUGUUACUAAACAAGUCUUUUUAAACCAAAUGAGCUUAUAAGCUAACUUAUGUGUCUUCCCAAACAAAGCCUUAAUUACCACAAACAUAAUAUACAAUUAUUGUCAUACAAUUAUCAUAUCUAUAGCACUUUUAAUUAUAUAUUGAUAUAAUUAUUUUUCCUUGUGAUAUAAGUCUUUCCAAGCUGCGGACAGACUACUCAACUUAUCACAUGGGGGAAUUUCGUUAUCCUCAGAGAACUUUUCAGGCGCCGCGAUACAACCAAGGUAAAUGUAGUAUUAAUGGAAAAAGAGAUCCCCUAUAAAUCUCGAAGCAAAAUGACUAGGAAGCACAUCUUUGCUCAUUUUAGUCGGCAGAAAAUGACAAGAUUGUUGUAUACUAGAACUGUUCAUUGCUGGUUUCUGAUAUUUGUUAUCUAUCAAAUUCAAUUUUUCAUCAUUGUGACAAGAUUGGCUGAAGUUUAUUUAAAAUACCAUAAUCAAAUGCAAGUUUAAAAGAGCCAUAAACUUGUUCUAUUUUGAAAUCUCAAUGGAAUUUGAUUCUUGUAGAACAUAUUAAAUAUGUAAG